GCCAGGAUGGUCUAAUCGGUUAAGGCGUCGCCCCGGUCAGGCGAAGCUUGCGGGUUCAAUCCCCGCUCCCGGCC
rnacentral:tRNA from 1 species